GACGAACCGUGCGAACGUUAUUCGGAAUCACUGGGCUUAAAGCGCGUGUAGGCGGAUUGGAACGUCGGCGCCUGAAAUCCCCCGGCUCAACCGGGGAACGCGGCCCGAAACGACCAGUCUGGAGGGACGUAGGGGGGACUGGAACUUCCGGUGGAGCGGUGAAAUGCGUUGAGAUCGGAAGGAACGCCCGUGGCGAAAGCGAGUCCCUGGACGUCUACUGACGCUGAGGCACGAAAGCUAGGGGAGCAAACAGG
rnacentral:rRNA from 1 species